rnacentral:tRNA from 1 species
GCACGUGCUCGGCGACGAGCUGGCCGCGCUGUUCCAGGCGCUGCACGAGGCGAACGGGGUCGAGUUCCGGUUCGAGUCCGGGGUGCGCUC